GCUGAGGAUUACUCUGGGAUGUUUUUGGACGGCAUGAACAUUUGAAUAAGCAGACUGAGUAGAUUGCCCUCCCUAAUGUUAAUGGAAUUUAUCUAAUUAGUUGAAGAUUUGAAUAGAACAGAAGGUUGGCGCUCACAUACGAAGGAACUUCUGGCUAUUGCCUUGAGGUGGCACAUUGGUUCUUUCCUGCCCAUCAACUUGAACUGAAACAGUAGCUCUUUCUGGGUCUCAAGCGGACUGACAUUCAGAGUGGAACUUACAUGAGCAGUUCUCCUGGGUAUCCAGUUUGCUGAUUGCAGAUCUUGGAACUAGUUGGCCUUAAUUAGAUAAAACAUGUAAACCAGGAAAUGACAAAUGUCGACCUCAUCUGUGAAAUGUGAGCUUGAGAAAGGGAAGGAGUCCGGUGUACUCCUGUUCACUGCCGUAUCCUCAGCUCCCAGAGCAAACCUAGUAGAAGGCUUCUAAGUGGGAAUUACAAGGAAAUCAUCAAUUUGAAAGCCUGAAUGAAAGAUUUUUCUACAGGGCUUGUCAGGUUUUAAUUGACUUCCUUCCCCAACUGUGGUUGGGAGCAGUUCUUGGAUGACUUUUUCACUUUGUCAGUGAAAUAGUUUUUUGUAAGGUUUCCAGCUUAAUUCUGGAGAGUUCAUAUUAAAUUUUGCUAGAAAUUUAUCAUUCUCAUUUUGAUUUCCCAAUUUAUUAUAUUUGUAUUCAUAUUCUUUAAAUUUUAAACCACAAUUUUUUUAGAACUUUAGUUGAAUUGCCUAUUAAAUAGUAAGAGAAUGUAAAUUAAAAAAUUAUUUUUAAUAAAAA